rnacentral:rRNA from 1 species
GAUGAACGCUGGCGGCGUGCCUAAUACAUGCCAGUCGAGCGAACAGACGAGGAGCUUGCUCCUCUGACGUUAGCGGCGGACGGGUGAGUAACACGUGGAUAACCUACCUAUAAGACUGGGAUAACUUCGGGAAACCGGAGCUAAUACCGGAUAAUAUAUUGAACCGCAUGGUUCAAUAGUGAAAGACGGUUUUGCUGUCACUUAUAGAUGGAUCCGCGCCGCAUUAGCUAGUUGGUAAGGUAACGGCUUACCAAGGCGACGAUGCGUAGCCGACCUGAGAGGGUGUUCGGCCACACUGGAACUGAGACACGGUCCAGACUCCUACGGGAGGCAGCAGUAGGGAAUCUUCCGCAAUGGGCGAAAGCCUGACGGAGCAACGCCGCGUGAGUGAUGAAGGUCUUCGGAUCGUAAAACUCUGUUAUUAGGGAAGAACAAAUGUGUAAGUAACUAUGCACGUCUUGACGGUACCUAAUCAGAAAGCCACGGCUAACUACGUG